GACGAACGCUGGCGGCGUGCUUAACACAUGCAAGUCGAACGGAAAGGCCCUGCUUUUGUGGGGUGCUCGAGUGGCGAACGGGUGAGUAACACGUGAGUAACCUGCCCUUGACUUUGGGAUAACUUCAGGAAACUGGGGCUAAUACCGGAUAGGAGCUCCUGCUGCAUGGUGGGGGUUGGAAAGUUUCGGCGGUUGGGGAUGGACUCGCGGCUUAUCAGCUUGUUGGUGGGGUAGUGGCUUACCAAGGCUUUGACGGGUAGCCGGCUUGAGAAGGUGACCGGCCACAUUGGGACUGAGAUACGGCCCAGACUCCUACGGGAGGCAGCAGUGGGGAAUAUUGCACAAUGGGCGGAAGCCUGAUGCAGCAACGCCGCGUGCGGGAUGACGGCCUUCGGGUUGUAAACCGCUUUCGCCUGUGACGAAGCGUGAGUGACGGUAAUGGGUAAAGAAGCACCGGCUAACUACGUG
rnacentral:rRNA from 1 species